UCCUAAAGUUGUUUGCUGAAAAAGCAAGACAGGUUGUCCCGACAGCCCUUCCUAGGACGACAAAGCUGAGUGUCUGUGGUAUUGUAGGAAUCCUGUUUUAUGACUGAUGCAUGAUAUUACCCUGAGCUUGGGUCGUCCUUCAGGUUCUGAACCCUGCUGGGGCUGGACCUUGCCAAGAAUCACAUAAGCUCACAGAUGAAAAGCACAGCAGUGGUUACAGCUAGCACAAGUUCUGUGUAUAAGUCACUUGUAGCAUCAUCUCGACACAACCCAAGUUAGCAGGAGUGAGCAGACUAAUACAAUAGAGACAGUUCCUGGAAUCAAACCCAGGGCCUGAAGUGCAGUAGGCAAGCAUCCUACCAUGAGGAAUAGUGUCAGUGCAGUCCCUCAUGUUUAGGAAGCCAAGACAGGACAACUGUGAGUUCGAAGUCAGUCUGGACAACAUGGACACCACAUAGUAAGUAAGACCUUGUCUCAAAGAAAAACGUUACUUAAGAAUAAUUUUUAUAGUAUAAGGAAAUAUUUGUUAAGAUGUCAAACUUAAGAAACAUAGUUGUUGCUGGGUAGUGGUGACAC